rnacentral:rRNA from 1 species
CCCUUAGAUGCUCUGGGCCGCACGCGCGCUACACUGAUGCAUUCAACAAGCCUAGCCUUGACCGAGAGGUCCGGGUAAUCUUUGAAACUGCAUCGUGAUGGGGCUAGAUUAUUGCAAUUAUUAAUCUUCAACAAGGAAUGCCUAGUAAGCGUGAUUCAUCAAAUCGCGUUGAUUACGUCCCUGCCCUUUGUACACACCGCCCGUCGCUCCUACCGAUUGAAUGUGUUGGUGAGGAGCUCGGAUUGGCAGCAGUUGGUGGUUCGCCACCGGCUAUUGCUGAGAAGUCCUCCAAACCGCCCCAUUUAGAGGAAGGAGAAGUCGUAACA